CGAUGAACACACUUCUUUAUCUUGAGGCAAAAGAAUACAUGGUGCUCUGUGGGCAUGAAUUACUACCUUGGUAAAUUGAGAAUUUGUUUAUAUUGAAGUUCACUAUAUCUAGGUUUACUGUAUAUUAUUUCCUCAUGUUGUGCAAGUAUUCAGGCAUGUAUACUUUAUGAAUAUCUUGUCAUGUGAUUGGAGCCUUGCUAUGCGUGCUUUCUUUAAAUGUAUCAUGUCUACGAAGUGUAUUAUUUUUUCACUGCACCAUUACCUGUGCCUUUUCAAUGUCCUUCAUUCUGCGAGUUACAACAUUGUCAUGUCCGUGCAGCCAGUGACGAGCCGAUGUCCGAGCAUACUUCAAAUUUACUUUAUUUUGACUCGAACGCUGCUUCCUUGAAACCAGGUUGCAGCACAGUCCAGAAAGCAUCUCCCAGUGCGCUGUCCAUCUCUCGGCAGAGUCGGGGAAGCGCUGGCAAGAGAGACAGUACUUUGAUCACCCAUUAUGGUCCAAGUUUUUUGGAAUACUCUUCAUUAGGUACACAUCGGCUGCAGCUGGGUUAGCCAAAUUUUUUUGAACUGCUGUGUGAUGUGGCCUAGGUGGCGCUAUGGGGCCUAUUCUACACUCUGCAGUUAUGAAGGUCCAACAUUCUCGGCGUGCUCCAUUGUCGUUUGUGCCAACCAGUACUUUGACCCCGGUUACUCAACAGAGGACACCUUGUGUCUUCAAGGAACUUUCAUAUUUUAAUGUGAUGCCUCUUUAUGUACAACCGGUGCAUGCUCUUUUUGUACAAUGCAUUCAUGUCUUUACCAUGAAGCCACAAGCAUUGAUUUCAAAGUGUACUUCUUUUUACUGUUGUUUGAUGUCACACUGAAGGUGGUUUAUUUCGUAGUGCCCUCCUGUGGGCGCCGAGCACAACCCUGAUAGUGCGUGCCUGCAUGAAAAAAAGAUAAUGAUAAACACGGUGCUUGACUGUCGCACAUAAAGCCAUGGCUCGUGUUCUCUGCGAUUCUAGGUCAACCGUCUCUCUCCUUUGCCUACAAUUUCAAGUGUUGGGUAAAUAAAUAUUGUAUUUACACGA